GCCUAAUUUUGUUGAAGAAUGGAUUUUGAAGAAUCUUGAUUGUUCAGAGCCUAUUGUUGGUGGUGUGGAGUGGUGUGCCGUUUUUGUAGUAGCUUGUUAGUUCAUUUGGUAUCGUAAAAACAAAAUUUUGUUUGAAGUAAUUGAUAAGGGUUUUCAGAGUAUUGUAGUUACUAUAGGAAAUUUUAGUAUUAAUGUUGGUGAGGCGAUGAAAAAGGAUUGCAUUGCUGUUUGUCGCAAGUGCAGAAGGAAGUGAGAUGUUUUAGAUGGAUUCCUCCAGAGGCCUUGGUUCAAAUUAAAUAUUGAUGCCUCCUGUGUUUGUGAGAAUAAUUUGGCUUUUGGAGGAGGGAUUUUAAGAGAUUGGAAAGGUGAUUGGCAAGGAAGCCUUGUAGCUAAUUCUGGCAGAGUGUCUCCUGUUGGUGCUGAAUUAUGAUCCAUGAAAGAAGGGCUACAAAUGACUUGGCAGAAGGGUGUUUCACAUUUGAUGGUUGAGUGUGAUAACUUAGAAGCAAUUUCUUGGGUUAAUGGUGAUAAAGAGCUUGCAAGAAGUUUGAGGACUUUAGUUAACUUUGUUCAAAAGAUGCUUUUGAUUGGUUGGGAAGUGCAAAUCAAGCAUAUUUUCAGAGAAAGGAUUAAGUGUGCUGAUUUAUUACCAAGUAAGCGAGGAACUUUGAGCUGAGUUGAGUUCUGGGUUGUCAUGUUUUGGAGGAGCGUGGAUUGGUUGCUGCAUGACAAGUGGGAGUGGCUUAUGCUUUUGAUUCACGAAUACAUAAACCAUCUCUCUCUGGGGCGCUCUUCAUCAUAAGUCACAGAAGUUGCAACGUGGGACAGAGCACUAGAAACAGAGGAUGGCUCCACAUGCCCUCGUCGCCGAUUUUGUCAAGCACUACUACACCACUUUCCAUGUGAAUCGGGCCGCCUUGGAGAACAUCUACCAAGAGGAAUCAAAGUUCACUUUCGAAGGCGACGAGCACGCGGGUCGUGAAAGCAUAAUCAAUAAACUGAGAAGCCUUUCUCUCGUCUUCCAGCACGAAAUCACUAAAGUUGACUGCCAGCUCUCUGGCGUCGGUGGCGUCCUUAUUUCUGUGUCUGGCUUCCUGUGGCCUUGUCGUUGUUCUGCCUUGAAGUUCAAUGCGGUACAUACUUAUGAAUUAAUAGAUGUAUUGAUUGAAAUUUUUUAUGGUUUGAUUUGAUACCAUGAGUUUCACUAUGUUAUUAUGAGAACUGUCAUCUAGAGGAAUGGUCUAUAUAUAGUUUUCUUUUUUUAGGAGAAUCUUUGG
rnacentral:misc_RNA from 1 species